rnacentral:lncRNA from 1 species
GAAGCCCAGGAAUUUCCUCAUAACCAGCAGUCACUUGAACUCCUCAGUAAAACGUGCCAUUGCUGUGAUCUCUGAAGGUACCUAGUUGAGCACAAUUGUAUUGGAUGAGAGAACAAUGCCCUACAAAUAGAAUAUCCAACUGAUGUCUUAAAGAUGUGCCAAGAAGGCUGUCUCACCAUCACGGAAAAACGUGAGCUCCGUCUUCUUUUACCCACUGAACGCUGUCCAUUUCCUGGAGCACAGGAGGAGGCUGGGAUGCAGAAUGCAAAGAGCUGUGGUUUUUUUCAUACCCAUACUUGGAACAGAG